ACCAGGGAGGCCGGGGGGACUAGUUAGUGAAUCAUAAUGGUUGUAAUGUCAGCAGUUAGAUCCUUGUUUGUGUGUUGCAAGUGCUCAUGUCAUUCAUCAAAGCAUGUCUGGAUUGGUCAAACUGGUCGUGGGAUACAGGGUUGAAAAAGCUGUCCCACGGUCGAGAUUUACCGGGGAUGAUUCUGAUGGGAGGAUGGAGCCAACCUCAAAAUGGACCAGUUGGGGCAGAACCUACAAGUUUCCUGGAAUUACGGGUUAUCUGAAGUCAUCAUCAGUUGUUUCGAGAAUGCCGUGAUGUCACAACACGUUCAUAUGGUCCUCUAAACAAACAGUGGAACAAAUGAUGCCAAAUAGUCAAUCAGAAGGAAAAAGUACAAUGCUCAGUGAAAAUAAAAUCCAAGCCUAAAUGUUUAAGGAACCUACUGAUACACAGACGAUAGGAUGAAUAUGUGUCCGUCACAUAGUUACUUUUUUUCCAUACAUCGCUUUGUGACAAUAAUUGUGAGAGAGUAACAAUUUAUGCCGUCAUUGUUUCACCCGUAUUACCGGUUUUGCACAAUUACAAAACGUUGUCAGUACGAAUGGCUCAACAGAAAUUGAUAUUUUAUGUGUAUUGAAAACACUGCCUGCUUCCUUUGUUAUCGGUAAAGUCAUGCUUCAACACUUGUGAACGAUGUUGACAGCUGUUUGUUUGUCAGGUGGUGACGUUACUGUACAUGCAUAUGUGCAGGCCGGCGUGUUCACAGAAAUAUAAUCUAACGUACACAGGUCUUUCAGGUAAUGUACAAAUGAGUGCAGCCAUAACCAUAACCUCUUGGCAAAAGAAUGUACACAUCUCACAAUUUGAUUUUACCCAAAA